rnacentral:rRNA from 1 species
UACGAAGGGGCUAGCGUUGCUCGGAAUCACUGGGCGUAAGCGCACGUAGGCGGAUUGCUAAGUCAGGGUGAAAUCCUGGAGCUCAACUCCAGAACUGCCUUUGAUACUGGCGACCUUGAGUCCGGAGAGGUGAGUGGAACUGCGAGUGUAGAGGUGAAAUUCGUAGAUAUUCGCAAGAACACCAGUGGCGAAGGCGGCUCACUGGCCCGGUACUGACGCUGAGGUGCGAAAGCGUGGGGAGCAAACAGG